rnacentral:lncRNA from 1 species
AAGAAUUGCAAUUACUCAUGCUUUGGUCAAAAACCCCAAGAUUCUGAUCUUGAAUGAUGCUACAUCUGCACUGGACUCAGAAAGCAAGUCAGCUGUGCAGAUGGCACUGGAAAUGGAUCAGAGCUAAAAGAAGGCAACAGCUCAGACUUGGACAGUAUUUUCUGAAAUACUCCAAAGCUUCCAAAGCAUCCCCAAAUAGCCCAGCUAAAGGCAAAGAAGACAAACAAAAAUGGCUGUUAAUUAAAGGUGUAAUGUUUAUUAUAGCUG